rnacentral:rRNA from 1 species
UACGUAGGGUGCGAGCGUUGUCCGGAAUCACUGGGCGUAAAGGGCGCGUAGGCGGCCUGAUAAGUAGGGGGUGAAAUCCUGCGGCUUAACCGCAGGGCUGCCUUCUAAACUGUCAGGCUGGAGCACAGUAGAGGCAGGUGGAAUUCCCGGUGUAGCGGUGGAAUGCGUAGAGAUCGGGAAGAACAUCAGUGGCGAAGGCGGCCUGCUGGGCUGUUGCUGACGCUGAGGCGCGACAGCGUGGGGAGCAAACAGGG